GUUUCAUUUGGUCUGAGAAAAGCCUGAACAUUAGCGUAUGACUCUGAGGAGACUCGGGGCUGCCUGUGGCUGUUAGCGGACAGGCGGCCGGCUUUAGCAAUAGCCACUUUUGAUCGGUUGCAUUUGGUACAGAAUUUUGAAUGACAGUGAAAAUUGUUGUCUUUGCAAAGCACAAAACUAACCUGGAAAGGCGUUUCGGCUCAGGUAGCUACCCAGAAUGUGUGUGAUUGGUGUGUCUCCGCUGUCUGCAGAGAAAGCAGCUGCCCAAACUACUAUUUACAUUCCCAGAUACUGAGAGCAAAUAGCUUUUCAUGGCCUUGCAUAUUUGGGGGCCCUUUUCUCUGUCCCGACCCCAGGUGCGGAUGGAACUAGAAAUGAUUCUUCUGUGAGAAAAGAGUCCUGGACACGGAGUAGUGUGUUUCACAACUGCGGUGGAACACAAGUAGAUUCCCAAGUCACUGCUGUGUGAGGACUGAGUGAGGUUCCCGAAAAAUUCUGUCUUGAGUCCAUGUUAUCUUGAUUUUUAAAAUUGAUAGGGAAGAAACCCCACAAACUGUCAAGCAAGUUAUAUGACAACUAACAACAUUGCACUUUCUGUAUAUGAAAUCAAUAUUUAAAUAACUUAUUUUUCUCCAUUGCUAUUCUUAAACAUUGUAAGUAGCUGUAAUAUACCAAUACCAAUACGUUCUUGCAAUUGCUUCAGCCCGAGAAAGCUGUGUAUUGUUUUAAAAUUGUAAAAAAAAAAAAAAAUAUUGUGAUGAUCCAUUUAAAAAAAAAAAAAAGGAAGGUAGACAGAAGGGUUUUCCUGUGUAUCAAAACUUGUCUAUAAUUAUGUCACCUAUGUACCUAGGGGAAAGGUAAAUAAAAUGUCUUCAUCG
rnacentral:lncRNA from 1 species